UACGUAGGGGGCAAGCGUUGUCCGGAUUUAUUGGGCGUAAAGAGCUCGUAGGCGGCUUGGCAAGUCGGGUGUGAAAACUUCAGGCUCAACCUGGAGAUGGCACUCGAUACUGCCAUGGCUAGAGUCCGGUAGGGGACCACGGAAUUCCUGGUGUAGCGGUGAAAUGCGCAGAUAUCAGGAGGAACACCAAUAGCGAAGGCAGCUCGCUGGGACGGUACUGACGCUGAGGCGCGAAAGCGUGGGGAGCGAACAGG
rnacentral:rRNA from 1 species